rnacentral:rRNA from 1 species
CCUACGGGAGGCAGCAGUGGGGAAUUUUGGACAAUGGGGGCAACCCUGAUCCAGCCAUGCCGCGUGAGUGAAGAAGGCCUUCGGGUUGUAAAGCUCUUUCGGCCGGAACGAAAUCGCGCACGUGAAUAACGUGCGUGGAUGACGGUACCGGAGUAAGAAGCACCGGCUAACUACGUGCCAGCAGCCGCGGUAAUACGUAGGGUGCGAGCGUUAAUCGGAAUUACUGGGCGUAAAGCGUGCGCAGGCGGUUCGCUAAGUCAGACGUGAAAGCCCCGGGCUUAACCUGGGAACGGCGUUUGAAACUGGCGGGCUCGAGUACGGCAGAGGGGGGUGGAAUUCCACGUGUAGCAGUGAAAUGCGUAGAUAUGUGGAGGAACACCGAUGGCGAAGGCAGCCCCCUGGGCCGAUACUGACGCUCAUGCACGAAAGCGUGGGGAGCAAACAGGAUUAGAUACCCUGGUAGUCCACGCCCUAAACUAUGUCAAACUAGUUGUCGGGGAAGCAAAUUCCUUGGUAACGCAGCUAACGCGUGAAAGUUGACCGCCUGGGGAGUACGGUCGCAAGAUUAAAAACUCAAAAUGAAUUGACGG